UACAGAGGUCCCGAGCGUUGUUCGGAUUCACUGGGCGUAAAGGGUGCGUAGGUGGCGAGGUAAGUCGGAUGUGAAAGCUCGGAGCUCAACUCCGAAAUGGCAUUGGAAACUACCUUGCUCGAGGGUUGGAGGGGGGACUGGAAUUCUCGGUGUAGCAGUGAAAUGCGUAGAUAUCGAGAGGAACACCAGUGGCGAAGGCGAGUCCCUGGACAACUCCUGACACUGAGGCACGAAAGCUAGGGGAGCAAACAGG
rnacentral:rRNA from 1 species